rnacentral:rRNA from 1 species
UACGUAGGGUGCGAGCGUUGUCCGGAAUUACUGGGCGUAAAGAGCUCGUAGGUGGUUUGUCGCGUCGUCUGUGAAAUUCCGGGGCUUAACCUCGGGCGUGCAGGCGAUACGGGCAAUACUUGAGUGCUGUAGGGGAGACUGGAAUUCCUGGUGUAGCGGUGAAAUGCGCAGAUAUCAGGAGGAACACCAAUGGCGAAGGCAGGUCUCUGGGCAGUUACUGACGCUGAGGAGCGAAAGCAUGGGUAGCGAACAGGAUUAGAUA